rnacentral:rRNA from 1 species
CUGAACCAGCCAAGUAGCGUGAAGGAUGACUGCCCUAUGGGUUGUAAACUUCUUUUAUACGGGAAUAAAGUGAGGCACGUGUGCCUUUUUGCAUGUACCGUAUGAAUAAGGAUCGGCUAACUCCGUGCCAGCAGCCGCGGUAAUACGGAGGAUCCGAGCGUUAUCCGGAUUUAUUGGGUUUAAAGGGAGCGUAGGCGGACGCUUAAGUCAGUUGUGAAAGUUUGCGG